rnacentral:rRNA from 1 species
AAUCUGGCAGUUCUUGCAGCUGUCCGAGUUGUAAAUUAGAGAAAUGUUGCCCGCGCUGGACCGUGUACGAGUCUCCUGGAAUGGAGCGUCAUAGAGGGUGAGAAUCCCGUCUUUGACACGGACUACCAGGGCUUUGUGGUGCACUUUCAACGAGUCGAGUUGUUUGGGAAUGCAGCUCUAAAUGGGUGGUAAAUUCCAUCUAAAGCUAAAUAUUGGCCAGAGACCGAUAGCGAACAAGUACCGUGAGGGAAAGAUGAAAAGAACUUUGGAAAGAGAGUUAAACAGUACGUGAAAUUGCUGAAAGGGAAACGCUUGAAGUCAGUCGCGUUGUCUGGAAAUCAACCUCGCUCUUCUGCUUGGUGUACUUUCUAGUCGACGGGUCAGCAUCAGUUUUGACCAUUGGAUAAGAGCUGGUUGAAUGUGGCAUCCUCGGAUGUGUUAUAGCUUCCAGUUGUAUACAUUGGUUGGGACUGAGGAACUCAUCAUGCCCGCGAGGGUUGGGUCUUCGGACUACAUUCAUGCUUAGGAUGCUGGCAUAAUGGCUUUAAUCGACCCGUCUUGAACACGGACCAAGGAGUCUAACAUGCGUGCGAGUGUUUGGGUGGAAAACCCAUACGCGUAAUGAAAGUGAAAGUUGAGAACCCUGUCGUGGGGUGCAUCGAUGCCCGGACCUGAUGUUACUGACGGCUCUGCGGUUGAGCAUGUAUGUUGAGACCCGAAGAUGUGAACUAUGCCUGAUAAGGUGAACCCGAGGAACUCUGGUGGAGGCUCGUAGCGAUUCUGACGUKCAAUCGAUCGUCGAAUUGGGUAUAGAGGCGAAAGACUAAUCGAACAUUU